rnacentral:lncRNA from 1 species
AAAUCAUAACUCUUGAUCUAACCAUUCAGUUUGUUUCAAAUUUACAAGAUAGGUAGAAUUCAUCUUUAAAUUUUAUUACAAAAAAAAAUCAACCAAAAAUUCACUUCCAAUCUUUUGGCAUCUAAGAAAUUCUAGUAGAUACUCUAAACCCUAAUUUACAAGCAUCCGAACACUAUUUUCUUAAUAUCUCAAGAACCCAGUACUCAAAUGUCAUAAAAACUUAUGCACAAAGUUUAUUAACAUAAAAUUACACAUUCUUUGAAAUUUUGAGCCAAGACCUUGUCAAAUUUCUCAAGAUAUAGCUCAUGAG